GAUUAGUUACUGUUAAUCACCUGUUCAUUUAACCUUUUAAUUAAAAAAAAAAUUCUUUUGAGAUAACUCAAAAGUAAUAAUAAUUUCAAGUUAUUGUCCAGUAUCCAUCUAACUAAUGAAAUACGGGUGAAAAUUCCACCAAUUACCCUGUUGAUAAUUAAAAAGCCUUUUAAUAGAAUAAAACUCAUAUGCAUUUUUCUGCACUCUUUCACAGGAAUCAGUAUAGAAAGAAAGAAUGAAUGAAUGUCAGAAGAAACCGAGCUUCACCUCCAGCCAGUGUUACUUUUUUUCCCCCGACGGAGCAGUAACCUGAGGGACUUUAGAUGUCCAGAGUACAGCAAUUAGACAGGAGAAGAGCUAGCUAUUCACAGAGGUCCUCCUUCAGCUCCAGUGGUGUCAGCUAGCUCCUGCUACAUGGAAAAAAUUAAAAUUCAAGAAGUUUGGAUUUAUUUGAAGUAACACCAACGUAGAUCUGGGAUGAUUCCGUUAACAGCACUGCAGUCAUGCUGUGUUUCUGAAAGGAUAUCUAAAGAACUGUAUCCAAGGAGGAUGUCACACUUUUCCGUUCUCAAGUUCAACCUUUUCUCUGAGUGCAUCAGCAAGUUUCACCUCUUCUGAAACUGUACUCUCCCGUGAGUUAUUUAUAAUCGCCUGCUGCUUCCUGUAAGUAGGAUUUCACUUACCUUCCUUCUCUCUGCCUCAGAUUGUUAUAUUUCAUUGAUGCGCUGCUUCUUCACGUAUAAACCUUUCAGCAGCCUGUUUUCUUCCAACUCCAAGACUUGCUAAACUCAAAGGAGACCCUUCAGAGAAUGGAAGGAAGUAUUUACCCUUGGCAGCAGCAAUUUAGAGGCAUACAUAAUAUUUAAUGUGUAGAAUCAUAGAGGCUCAGUGCAUACUGAAACAUCCCUCCUAAGCAUGCAUUCUCUUCAAGUUCACUAAAAUUGAUAGGUUGGU
rnacentral:lncRNA from 1 species